UUGUUUCUCUCCACUUGCCAAUCAGCCAUUCCUGAGAAUCAACUGGCUUUACAGGCGAAGACUAGUAGCCAUGACUGAAGGUAAUGGGAUCAAGGCUCCAGAGAAGCUUGAGGGUUAUUUUAAAGCUAUGGCAAUUUGUUGGCUCCUCGGACUAGGGUCCUUAGUCGCAUGGAACAGCGUGCUUACUAUAGGAGAUUACUAUGGAGUAUUGUUUCCGAACUACCAUCCUUCAAGGGUUCUCACUCUUGUUUAUCAACCAUUUGCAUUCAUUUCAAUGGGAAUACUUGCAUACAAGGAAGCAACCGUUAAUACCAGAAAGAGGAUUUUAGUUGGAUAUACUCUCUUCUUUAUUGGUACCUUGAUGAUGAUUGUCGUGGAUCUUGCUACAUCCGGCCACGGAGGAGUCGGACCUUAUAUUGGUAUAUGUGCAAUGGUUGGUGUAUUUGGGGUUGCAGAUGGUCAUGUUCAAGGUGGAGUCAUUGGUGAUUUAUCCUUGAUGCGCCCUGAAUUCAUCCAGUCCUUCUUUGCUGGCUUGGCUGCAUCAGGUGCUCUAACAUCUGCCUUGAGGCUGAUGACGAGGGCUGCUUUUGAGAAGUAUCAUAAUGGUCUUCGUAAGGGAACAAUCAUGUUCUUGGCCCUUUCCACAUUCAUCGAGUUCCUGUGUAUAUUUCUGUAUGCAAUGUACUUCUCUAAGUUACCUAUAGUAAAGCACUAUCGCUCAAAGGCAGCCUCAGAAGGCUCCAAAACUGUAAUGGCUGAUCUUGCUGCCGGUGGCAUCCAAACACAAGUAGACAUAGAAUAACAAACUUCUCAAUUUUCACAGGCAAUUCCACAACGAUUGACCACUAAGCAAUUAUUCAUUCAGAAUUAUGAUUAUGCACUAGGCAUAUUUCUGAUAUAUGCACUGACAUUAUCAAUCUUCCCUGGUUUCCUUUUCGAAAACACUGGAGAACACAAACUGGGCACAUGGUAUCCCCUUGUUCUGAUUGCAAUGUACAACGUGUUGGAUCUUAUAUCAAGAUACACACCACUUAUACCAUGCUUGAAGAUUGAAAACAGAAAGGGCCUCAUGAUUGCAAUUGGACUGCGUUUUCUCUUUGUUCCAGCAUUCUACUUCACUGCAAAAUAUGCUGAUCAAGGUUGGAUGAUCCUGCUCACCUCACUCUUGGGUUUUACAAAUGGUCAUCUUACUGUUUGUCUCAUGACAGUGGCACCGAAAGGUUACAUGGGACCUGAGCAGAAUGCCUUGGGCAAUGUCCUUGCUUUCUGUCUUAUGUGUGGCAUAUUUGCUGGGGUUUUACUCGAUUGGUUGUGGAUCAUUGGCAAUGGGAAAUUUUGAAGAGUCAGAUGAUGAAAUAAAGUUGCUGUUUGAAUGGUGAUGUCAUGUUUGGAUGAAGAUCGAUAGGAAUUAUCAAGUGCUAUUCAUGUAUAUUUUGUUGUGUUUUUUAAGCUAGAUAGGCAAAGUAAUUAACAAGAUUGAUUUCUUACCAAUCGUCAGUAGAAAAAUGAUAAUGGGUUUUCUCAAGGAUGUUUUGGGUUGAUUUCUCCUAUCUAUGUCUGUCAUCUACAACGAUCAGUAGUAAAAUGAAAAUGUCAAGUAAUAACCUUAUAAACAGU